rnacentral:rRNA from 1 species
CCUACGGGUGGCAGCAGUGGGGAAUAUUGCUCAAUGGGCGAAACCCUGAACCAGCAACGCCGCGUGAAGGAUGAAGGUUUUCGGGUUGUAAACUCCUUUUGUUAGGGAAGAUAAUAACGAUAUCUAACGAAAAAGCACCGGCUAACUCCGUGACAGCAGCCGCGGUAAUACGGAGGGUGCAAGCGUUACUCGGAAUCACUGGGCGUAAAGAGCGAGUAGGCGGGAUAGCAAGUCAGAUGUGAAAUCCUAUGGCUUAACCAUAGAACUGCAUUUGAAACUGUUAUUCUAGAGUAUGGGAGAGGUAGGUGGAAUUCGUGGUGUAGGGGUAAAAUGCGUAGAGAUCAAGAGGAAUACUCAUUGCGAAGGCGACCUGCUAGAACAUAACUGACGCUGAUGCGCGAAAGCGUGGGGAGCAAACAGGAUUAGAUACCCCAGUAGUC